UACGAAGGUCCCAAGCGUUAUCCGGAUUUAUUGGGUUUAAAGGGUGCGUAGGCGGCUUAUUAAGUCAGUGGUGAAAGCUCCAUGCUUAACGUGGAAAUUGCCAUUGAUACUGAUGAGCUUGAGUAUAUUUGAAGUGGGCGGAAUGUGUCGUGUAGCGGUGAAAUGCUUAGAUAUGACACAGAACACCGAUUGCGUAGGCAGCUCACUAAACUAUAACUGACGCUGAGGCACGAAAGCAUGGGGAUCAAAC
rnacentral:rRNA from 1 species